GGCACUAACCAUGGUUGUCCCACCAUCCAAAGAUGAAUAGUUGAGGCUAAAACCAGGUCCUCCCAGAAGCUUCACUCAGCUCUGGCAAAUUGCAAGGGGAAGAAGCUUAAUGCCAUGAGGAGGAAACCUUAUUUGGGAUCUACUCUCUUCACACGCAUUGCAACCUAUGGUGCCUGCAUGGAGAACUAUCAGCGCAACCGUGCAAAUUCAGUGGCUCUGUUUUUGAUAAGUUAGACAGCAAGGACAGGAAAACUUUGGCAACUUUUCACUAGGAGGCCUUCUUCUUCCACAUCAUCAAGUCCAGCUGGCAAAGCACACAGCAGAUACAACUGGAAAAAUGCUGUCACAUGUUGUACCCAUACAGUGCCACACUUAAUUGAGGUCAUUUGGGCUAUUUUCUCCUAUCAGAGCUGUCAUCAAGGACAUGCCAUUUGAUGACUCAGGUCUGUUUAAUGAAGCCAUCGAUUCAAAAUUUAAAAAACCACCAAGAGCUUUGAACAGCUGAAAAUAAAUAUGGCCUGUGAGCAAAGACCUCAUACAUGUCUUUUCGAAUAAGAUGGCAUCAGAAUUAAUCCUACCAUAGCCUGUCCAUUUCACCUCUAUACUGACCAAAGUCAUUCUCGCAGCAAUGGUGCCAACCUUGUUCAAAGCUAGUGAAUUCACUAAUUGUAAGAACUGACUGUGAGCACUUCAAACCAGUGCUUUUGCAUUGGCCAUUCGGUCAACUCACAAAAGGACAAGUUACCCCACUGUUUAUGGAUAGACUUGCUCAGUAUGCCCAUGUCUGGUCAAGAAUAACCACAGACCAGUGAGGAAAGAUCCACAAAACACAGUCUGCAGCUUUGAUUCUUCAGGAGAUCGACAUCCAUUGAGGCAGAGCUUCAGACUCAAUGUUUUUUCUUUCUGUUACUUGCAAUCUCCCAAAGAGACAGUGAUCUCUAACAAAUCAUGAACCUCAGGGCUGUCAACAAUUUCAUAAGACUGAAGCAUUUCUAGAUGGUGACUGUUGCGUCAGUCCUACCACUUCUUUGUCAGAGAGAUUGGUUUGCCACCCUCAAUCUCAAAGAUGCGUAUUUCCAUAUUGUAGUGCACUCUCAGUGCUGACAGUACCUUAUCUCUUGCAUCAGAGACAUAUAUUUCAGUUUUGAGUCCUACCUUUUGGCUUGGCAAUGGCACAGUAGGUGUUCAUCAAAUGUAUGGCAGCAGUGUCCACAUAUCUUCUCACCUACUAUGUUUCCAUCUAUCCUUACCCUGAUGCCUAGCUGGUGGUGGCAUACAGGAAACCAUGGUUACUACAAAACAUAGAUUUGUUCUUCAUCUACUAAACAAGCUUGGCCUCAUACUGAGUCAGGAUAAAUCUCAUUUACUCCCAACACACAGCGUCCAGAUUCUAGGGAUGCUAUUUGAUUCCAUUGAGGAAAAGACUAUUCACAAACGUUCAGAAUGCUGUCCCCCACUGCUGAAAACACAAGAAAAUGCAAGCUAAGACAUUUCACCCUGCUUGGUCACCCAGCUUUGGCCACAGUUUUGAGACUGUUUCCAAAACUUCAUAUGAGACCUCUGCAAAUCAUGGUUCCUACAGCACUUCAAUUCUAUAAGAGAAUCACAGUUGAAGCACUUCUCCAUCAUGUCUCUGACAAAUUAGAGCUCUCUCUGUUUCCACAGAGACUUUCAAAAUGAAAUGUGGAUACAAUUAGACUAUGUUAUGGACUGGUUGGAAUAAUAAUAAUAAUAAUAAUAAUAAUAAUAAUAAACUUUAUUUGUAUCCCGCUACCAUCUCCCCAUGGGACUCGAUGCGGCUUACAUGAGGCCAAGCCCAAAAUACAUCAAACAACAUCAAUAAUACAAGAUUAAUAAAUAAUCAUUAAAAUACAAAUCAUAUAAAUCACAUAACAAAACAACUACCAAUAGUGACAUAUAAACAGUUUUGAAACAGCUGGGCCAAAUGUAAUAUGCUUACGUGAACAGGUAAAAUAUAACUGGAUAGGCUUUUUCAGAGAGAAACGAGGGAACAACAAUCCAUCCUAAGUCAGUAUUAAAGUGCAUUAUAAGGGCAUAUUGCUGAGAGUUCUCCUAUUCUGGGAAGGCACACUGGAACUCCCAUCUUCUCAAAUUUGAGCACAUACUACAAGGGCCACAAAGACAUCUACAGCUUUUAUUAAGGGUAUUACCCCAGAGAUUUCCAGGACUCUUAUUUGGAGCAACCCUUCUACUUUCAUCUUACACUAUAGACUGGACUCUAGAUAUGUUGCUGACACGACUUUUAGUAGGACAGUAUUGUUCUGUGUUUCCUGAAUUCAAAUUCCUACUUUGUCCUGGUUUCUUUCAUUCAAGGGUUUUAUUAUUAAUAGACUACAACAAGAGUUUUUUAUAAAGGGAUCAAUGUUGUUCUGCAACUGUUUUUAUGUGUCUUGAUGUUGACACAUUUACCUCAAAUUCAAAAUGUUUUACCUUGAAUUCGUAGCAUCAUGAUGUCUCUUUUACAGACAUUUGGCAUAUGUUUUUGCCACAUGUUCUUCUUGGUGGCUGUGUCUUUUCUGUGUACUUGAAUGGGCUCAACCCAGUGAAAUGUAUGUGCUAACUGUGUGCACAGUUAUGUAUGUGCUAAUUAACAAAGCAUGUAUUUACACCAUAAAUCAUUCCUUAAUGCAAGCUUUAUUCUUGGUUAUUUAAUAAAGUUUUAUAUUUUCCUUAAUUACCUAACUCUUGGAUGCCAUGACUCCUUCCAUCCAUGGUCCUUAGUUUUUUAGUCACCCAGUUGUGUGAUUCACAGAGAAUAUGAAGAAGGACAGGUUGCUUACCUAUAACUUUAUUUCUUCAAGUGGUCAUCUGUGAAUUCACACAACUGCACCCAUCCUGGGGCAGCAAUCCAUACCUUAUAUGCACUUGGGAUAAUGGGCGGGGUUACUGCUAAAAACAUUUAUCUCUAAAAAUUCUGGACAGUUUUAAAGAUGCUCUGUGCAGGUACAGAACAUCCAGUUAUGUGAAUUCAAAAAUGACAACUCAAAGAAAUACAGUUACAGGUAAGCGACCUGUCCUUCUCAAGUAGAAGGGAAUGCUCUAAUCAGUAUUACAAGGAAGAAUAUUCCAAACAUACGGAGAAGCAGGUUAGAUGACUCAAAAAUAAGUAAAUAAUUUUGACAUAAACAGAAUGAGAUAAGAAUAGAGUGUGUGUUUUGAUCCAGGCCCAGAACAUAUACUCUGUUCUUAUUUCCUUUUUAUUUAAGUCACAAGCGUUUUAUCUUUAGUAUAACAUAGCAUACUAAAGAUAGCAUGGUAUGCUGUCUUUAAUAUAGCAUACUAAAGAAAAGGGAGGAAAAAUUACAAAAGUUAAACAAAACACUGGAGUAAAAGAAGCAAGCAAAAUCCCACCAAGAGUUAAACAUGUCAAUGCAGAUUUGACUGAACCAGGCAAGCAGAUACAAACUUAUCUUCAGAGUGAGGGAAUAUAAAAUACUUAAAGAAAACACAGGAGAAAAGUUGUUCAAGCAUUUAAAUUUUUUUCAAACAAAUCAAUAACGGCUAAAUGAAAUGUAUGAGAACCCACAUAGAUAGAAGAAACUUGUUAAACUUAAAUAGACGAUUUCAUAUUUAAGUGAUGGCCUAGCAUACAAGAAGAAUAUUAUGAAAGGACUGGGGUAAACAAACUGAGAAUUUUGGUAGAAUUAAAAACAAAAUAAAGACUUUUUCAUGUAGAUAAACGCCUUACAACCUGUGAUAAACGCCUUACAAGCAUCCUGGAAAACACUUUAUGACACAAUUAUUCAAAUCACUUUGGAAAAUACAAUGAUAGUUACAUAAACAAACAGGGAGGGACACAUUCUGCUGUUGUACUUGAUCUUGCUAUGACUCUAUGGAAUUGGUGUGUUCAAAAGUAUAUUCAUCCUGUUACAGUACUUCUAGCACUCACGGACAAUGCUUGUGUACUCCAAUACAAACAGACCAUGUCAGAUGAUGAAUUCCUGUGUCUGACAUCCGGAUGUAAGACUUCAAGUCUCAGAUUUGUUCACUUUCCCAAUGCUCUUACUACAAUACAUUCUGAGCCCUGUCACGUGCACAAUGGAGGACCUUCUUACAGCGACACCAAAGGCACUCCAAGUGACCAGUUUCUGGUCAAAGGAAAUUUAGUAUAAUGCCAUUUUUAAAUAUGUUAUAACUGUAUUUUAAAUUCGCUUCUGACACAAUAAAUAAAUAAAUGCAUUCCCAAUUAACACCAAGUGUUCUUAUCUAGAGCAGAUUGGGGUCAAAUGUCUCUUGGGAAUGCUUUCUGCGUAGAUGGUCUUGAUCUCUCUUUUUCCCAUUUUUUCCCAUUACUUUCAGAAGGUUUGAAUUGUCUAGACACAGAUCCAACACCAUUCUAAUAGUGCCCUGUUAGCUGAGACAGCUAUGAUUCGGCCAAUUUUUUCAGCUGUCAAAAGGCCGUUUCAUGCAUCCAACCUACUUUCACAUUCUCACAAUCAAGUCCUCCAUCUGGAACUUGAGAUUCUGCCACUCACAACAUAAAAAAUAACAUCUUGAUUUCUCCUCAGCGCUGAGGUGUAUUCUUGACUUCAUGGAAGGACUCCACUAGAAAAUCUUAUCAUUACAAAUGGAAAAUAUUUUAGUUUGUUUGCAACGUCAAGGUCUGAUCCCUCUUCUCCAUCUUCAUUGUCUAAUAUUUUGCAUUUUCUCUAACACCUGGUUUACCUGGCUGCAGUUGUAGCCAACCAACUCUGCCCUUUCCUUCCUUGUUUUUGGAUCCUGUAAUAAAGAAGUUCGUUAAAGAUCUAUAUCAUCUUUAUCCUUUAGUGACACCACCUGCUCCACCAUUGACACUGUCACUAGUAUUUUCUCAACUUACACAUGGCUCAAUCAAAUCUCUGGCAACAGAUGAUGAACAACUGCUUCCCUGAAAAGCCAUGCUCCUUGUAGCUGUAACCUCUGAGAGACACAUGGGCAAGUUUAAGGUGUGAUGUUCCCUUCCAGAUUUUUCAUCAGGAUGAAGUUGUCUCCCCUCCCAGAUGUCACUUUUUUUCAAAGAUGUUUUCAUACUUUCAUCUGAACCAAAAUAAUAUUCUUCCAACAUUUUAUCCACAGCCAUAUUUCCAUCAGGAAAGGUCUUUUCUUAGCCUAUAUGUAUGUUAGGCCUUGACUUACUCUGUUCCUCAUUUUGCUCUGUUCUGGAAGUCUAAAAGACUGUUUGUUUGUUGUGGCGGUAGACCUAAAACAGGACUCUAAGUGUCUUCCCAGAGACUUUCCAAAUGGGUUGUCCAUACAAUCGGUUUAGUGAACUUUCAGUGAUUCUAAGAACACAUUCCACUAGAGUGUGGCCAAUUUCACUGCACUUCUAUGUGGUGUUCCUUUAGCAGAUGUCUGCAAAGCCGCAACAUAAUUGCAGCCAUCCACAUUCAUCUAGAUCAGUGGUUCCCAAUUUGUGCUCCAUGGAGCCCUGAGGACUCCACAUGCACUUACCGGGGCUCCACAGCCACUCCAGGCAAAUAAAAUAUAUAAAAAUUGAAUGAAAUUAAAGAAUAAGAAACAAAGUUUAAUCAAAAUGAGAAAAAUAGAUAUUACAUUUGGAAUACGAAAUUUCCAAGUUGAAUUUUGCACCUUUAACAGGGCACUUGAUCAUUCUGCUGCCACUAGCUCCAAAAGUAUUGACAACGACGUUGGGUAGGGUGCCGAAGUGUCACACACACUCUGUCAUGUGCUACAUUUUAAUAGCCCUUUCUGGAACUGAAUGUCCACAUCAUUUCUUGUAACUGCAUAUUCAGUAAGUUUCUCCGUUAUUCUUGACCCUUUGAAAAUUCCUGGAAUCCACUCAAACCUUCUUGGAAUCAUAUAAAAUUAAGGCUGGCUAGUCGAUUUGGAGCCACUUCACAGCAAUAACAUUCAUAGCAAUAACUGUGAUUUCUUAGCAAUUCUUCUGAAAAUUUUCUAUGCAUUUGAACUUUUAAUGAGUUUUAGUUCUGUUGUGUCAUGUUCUACUCAUACAUUCAAACCCCGAACUACUGCAAUACAUUUCCAGUAGAAAAACUUUACAUUAUGAAUUGAUUCAGGUGCUUUUAUUGGUAUUCAAGUAGGUAAGUACUUGUAUUUUGUUACAAAAUUUUAUUUGCUUUAUUUUGUAUUUUGGUUUAUGAAAGAUAAACUCCAUUAUUCUCAUAUUCCUGUGUGAUUUUCUUUUAGGCAUAGUUGCUGGCUUCAAAUAGGUACUUUGAAGAAAAAAAAUAUGUUAUGUUUGAAAAGGAGGACAAACCAGCAACUCACUCCAUUACUUCGCCAAAUGAACAAAUGGCAAAAAAAGACAACCAAGCAAUGCACUUAACCAGUUUUUUGUCAGAAGAGAAAAAGAAAAGAAACUAUUUCUGACUGUGGCUCCACCUCAAUUGUUGUUUGCAAAAUCUGGAAGAAGUGGGCAUUGGGGAACACACCUCCCAAUACAAAACAAAAAUAUGAAGAAAGUUACUUGAAUAUGGAAUUCAUAGAAACGAAUGAUAGUUGGCCUCUCUGUGAUUUGUGGAAAUAUGUUGACCAACAGUUCCAUGUUUCCUGCUCAACUGCAGCGUCAUUUCAAGGGAAAUGCCCUCAGUGGUGCAGUGGGUUAAACCCUUGUGUUGCCGGGACUGAAGACCAACAGGUCGCAGGUUCUAAUCCGGGGAGAGCACGGAUGAGCUCCCUCUAUCAGUUCCAGCUCCCCAUGUGGGAACAUGAGAGAAGCCUUCCACAAGGAUGGUAGAACAUAAAAAAAAGAUCUGGGCAUCCCCUGGGCAACAUCCUUGCAGAUGGCCAAUUCUCUCACAACAGAAGCAACUUGCAGUUUCUCAAGUCACUCCUGACGCCCAAAAAAAUCGAGUUAAAAGAUAAACUGUUUGAUAUUUUUCAAGAGGAAGUGCAAUGAAAUUUAGCAGUUUUCCUUCCUUCACUUGCUUAGUCUCCAAUCCCAUCGUGCAUUUUGUUCAACUCCAUCUUCUAUGGGUUUCUUCAACCUUUCCAGGGCCACCCAUCCAUUGCACAUUCACUGAUGGUGGAAAGGCAGUGAUGGGUCACAGUGCUAGAGCCAUUGCCAAAAUUAAAGGCUCUUCAAACUAAUGUGUGAAGAUUUGGGAAGCCACAGUGAGUCCUGCUGCACACUGAAGUAAAGGGGUUGUCUCAAAGUAAAACAUUGACAUAUUUGAUGGAACUGCAUGCAGAGAUAACAGCAUUUUUGGUGGACCAUAAUGCUCUAUUGACAACAGUUUUAAAUAAUAAAGACUGGGUGUGCAAACUGGCGUAUUUGGGCAACAUUUUUAGCAAAAUGAACUAAAUGAAUCUAUCAUUGCCAGAAAAAAUUGGCACAGUUUUUGAUGCAAACACGAAAGUGUCUUCUUUUAAGAGGAAACUUGUAUAUCAGUUGGAGUGCAUGGAAACGGAAGAUAUCAAUUGCUUCCCACAUACAAAAAGCAUCUUGAAUUAAAAUAACAUCAAGAUUCAAGAAAAAAUACAGAGAAAUAUUCAACCGCAUCUCAAAGCUUUGAAAUAUAUAUUUGAACAUAAUUUUUAACAGCAAAAUGGAAGGUACUUGAUGCCUUUAAAUGGAUACUGAAUGUAUUGAGCAUGAACAAAAAGCCACCCAGCUUAAACUCAGCGGAAUACAAGUCCUCACAGAUUUGACACCUUAUAGUGAACUAAAAAUCACAUUUCAAAAUCAGUCUACCAGAGUUUUGACUGCACUUACAAGAUGAAUUUAAAGUCUUGUCUGAGAAAGCAAAAUUAGUAUUGCUACCUUUCUCAACUACAUAUCUCGUGAAGUUGGAUUCUUAGUCUAUACAGUCUCAAAACAAAAUACAGAAGCCACUUAAAUGUAAAAUCAAACAUUAUACUGCAAUUGUCAUCAAUUGAACCUAAAAUAAGAAAACUGUGCAAAAAAUUAAGUUAACUUAUAAUGUUUAUAUGUUAUUUUAUGUUAUUUUAUGUUAUGUCUUAAUUUAGACAUACUGUUGCACUACAGUGCACUCUACUUCUGUUAUAAUGCAAAUGGUGUGAUUUAUUGCUCUUGGAAAGCAUUUUUAUAUAUGUCCAAGUUUUGUCAAUAUCAUGUGUAAUGGUGGUAGUUGAGACAAAUUUGAGAUACUAUGUUUUUUGAAAUACAAUUUCAUUGCAUAUACAUUAUACAAUUGUUUAGAUAUCUCUUUACUUUACGUUACUCCUAAACACCAUUAACUUGUAAAAUAUAGAGUAGGCCUAAGGGGCUCCCCCUUAAAAAUUUAUUCUAAAAAGGGCUUCGCAAGCCAAAAAUUUUGGGAACCACUGAUCUAGAUUAUUGACUGCAUUGCACGUCUAGAACUGAUGAAAGUUUUGGAUGAGCUGUUCUCUCCUCUGUUUCCCCAUGACAUGAUGGGGAAAAGAGAGAGGGCACAUGGGGUGCCACGAACCACCCUGUCCACCUUUCCUUUUGCUGGUGAUUACCGUGUGAAGAGGUUCUCAGUCUGCCAUCCUCUGAUAAGUCUGAGUUUGUGUGAGGAACAGAGACCACUAGGAAGAAGAACAGGUUGCUUCCCUGUAAUUGUAGUUCUUCAAGUGUCAUCUGUACUCUCACAAAAACCCACCCUACCUCCCCUCUUUCUUUAGUAGACUUCAGAACCGAAGUAGCUUAACAGACUGGGACAUGCAUGAGCACAAAACAUAUUUCUGUGAGGGCACAGACAACUACUCAAAGAACCACAUUUACAAGUAAGCAAUCAGUUCAUAUCUUGGAUGUAAGAAAUAUACAAAAUACUGGAAUCACAUGAGUAUAUUCUGUAGUUCAAGGACCAAAAUCAUGUAUUUUUCACAAAGUUUGGAUUAUUUCUUUCACUUUUUUGAAGGUACAAACUAUUUGAGUAGUUUCUGCAAGUAGUUCCUGAGACAAGAUCGUGCCACAUUUAUAUCUGUGUUUAAUAUACACCAUUUUGGAUGUGUACGAAUUAGUAAAUACAUUAGAAUUGGUUUUCUUCAGUCAUACAGCCAUGGGUAUGUUUCCAUGUGUUGAAUCUAAUUUAUACGUAUGUGAAAUAUCCACCAAAGUGCAGAAAUACCAUUUCUUAAGUUUUAAUCAGUUCAUCUUUUUGUAACAGUGGGAGGAGAGUGAUUUGUAAAACUUAAAAUUUGUACAUAUUUACUCAGAAGUACAUAUUUACUUAAUGAGACUUACUUCAUGAUUCAUGAGUGUAGGAUUGUACUUUGAAUAAACCAGAGAAACAAACAAAAAGCAGUGGGGCUAAAUGGAAACAUAAUGGAAUGAAGAGAGAACACUGAGGUCAAAAUCAGAUAUAUAAAAUAAUAAUUAAUUUAUCUAUUAUCUCAGAGGUAUUCAUGUUAAGUUUCAACUUCUAUCCAGUUGUGUGCAGCCUUAAGUUGAUCAGCUCAUCUGCAUAUCUAUAUUACAGACUGACUAGCUGUGGCUUUCUAUAGUUUUCCCCAUCACCUUCUACUUGAUUCUUUCAGCUGAAGAUGACAGGCAGGGCUGUAGCCAGAAAAAAAUUUCGGGGAAGGUUGACAAUUUCGGGGGGGGUUGAAAAUUUCGGAGGGGGGGGUUGAAACCUGCCUCCUAGCUCACGCUGAAGCAAAGAGCACAGCAGGGGGCAGAGCAGCCUUCCAUAGCCUGCAGCUCCGCCCCUGUCAACCACCUCCACCAAGUCUGGCUUCCUUAAUGAGAGCAUUCAACACACACACACCCAACUUGGUUGCUUCACUACAUCGGCUAUUGCUGCAAGUAAUGACAGUGUGAAUAAAUUGUCAAUAUUUGCUUGAGAUAGUGCUUACAGUUCUGGAGGGACUCUUAAUUUUUUGCAUCUCAUAGACUUAGCAUGGGGAUUUGGUUAACCAGUUAAAAUUCAUGAGUAAACCAGGUUUUUAAAAAAAAUCUGAAACAUUUCGGGGGGGGAGUUGAACCCCUAAAACCACCCCCUCGCUACAGGCCUGAUUAACUGGCAUACUUUAUAUGUGAAGCAUGUGCUCUGAUGCUCAUGCCCUGCUGCCAUCAGAAUGCCAAAGAGCUGAAUGGUAUGACCAUACAAUGCCAGCUGGUGCACUCAAAUUUCACUUUAAUAACAAGUAUCAUGGUAAUUGCCAUAUGACUAUAUCUCUGGUCUGCCUUGGCCACUAGAAGUAACAAGUUUUUACAAGAAGAAAAAAAUACUGUUUAUAUUCGAGUAUAAGCAGAUCCUGAGGCAUCUAAUUUUAUCACAAAAAACUGGGAAAACACAUUGACUCGAGUAUAAGCCGAGGGCAGGAAAUGCAGCAGCUACUGGUAAAUUUAAAAAAAAUGCAUUAAUUGACUCUUCAGUAGCUUAAAUGUUUUUGAAAUGUUUACAUUAAAGUGUAAUUUAAGAAAACACUGUCCAACUCUGAUUAAUCCAUUAUUCUAAUCUUCUUCAAUGUAAAUGUGCUUAUGUAGCCUUCCUAUAAAAAUAAAGAGAGAAAAUAAUAAAUGUAAUAAAAAUAAUAAUACAGUAAAAUAAUGGAAAUGUAAUAAUAACAGUAAUAAUUGUGUAAAAUAAUAAAUGUAAUAACAAUAAUAGAGAAAAAUAACAAAUGUAAUAAUAAUAGAGUAAAGUAAUAAAUUUAAUAAUUAUUAUAAUCAUAAUAACAACAGAGUAAAAUAAUAAUUAGCCUUGACUCAAGUAUAAGCCAAGGAGGGCCUUUCCAGCCUUCAAAAGGGGCUGAGAAACUAGGCUUAUACUCAUGUAUAUAUGUACAUUAAGAACAUUUUCUAUUCCAGUGGGGACAACUCUCCCCAAGAAGAAGCUUGUCAAAGAAAGCGUUGAUUGCAAUUUAAAUACAAUCUGGUAUUGUGUGUUUUGCAUGCACAGUAAGUUAAAUAAUUGACUUGCAUUUAAAAAAUCAAAUAUAUCUUGUUAUUGGCAGUCCUUCAGAAAGGAAGCCAAAGUAUCCAUAUCUUGAAAAUAUAACUAUGCUGAAUUCUUGGUGAAUUGCAGCCCUAAAUUCUGAAACAUCUCAAAAGAGAAUAUGGGAUCAUCAUAAUCUCAAACAGUAAUACAUUGCUCCUAUCAUGGGAAGAGUGGAAACUCCAUAUUCUGGCUGGAGAAGGAUUGUCUAUGUAUACAAUAAAGUUGUUAAAUAACUGCUACAGACUUAGUGGAGCAGCUACUGACAAACUAGGCCACAGUAAACAGUAAAUAUGUCUAUUAUGUUGACGUUUUAUAUUAUAUUUGCUUUUAAGAAAAAUGCAUAGAGUUGUCUGAACAAUAGAGCCUAGUACAGCCAAUGGUUUCAAUGGCCAACUUUAAUACCAAGUAUAAGUAAGUGGGUGAGUUUCAGAGAUCUUACGUUACUUUAGGCUUAAUGAGAAGAGGGUGGAAUUAUAGAAGAUUGUUCAAAGUAUAUGCAGCUUAAGUUAAAUGGAUUUUAGUCUAAAGGUUUUGGUGACAAGAUCCACAAGUCCCAUUCCUAGCUGUGCCAUUUCUAUAUCUGUGCUUCUGUUUUCCAGUAUCCAUAUAGUAAAAUAAUGUUUUAUUUUUAAUACCUGCAAUAGUUUUCCCCUAUGCAGUUUCUUGUUCCCCUUUUAUUAUUCCACACCUUUCCUAUCAGUUACUCUUAUCCUCCAUCCCCAGAUUCAAUUACCUGUGGCAUCAGUUGUCCAGAAAACCUUUUGAGAGAGAUAACUAUUCUGCAAUAAUACCAUAUUUACUCAAAUCUACUGCUCAUCUUUUCUUUUUCUUUUUUGCUAAAUUGUAUAGCCAAAACUGAGAUGUGCAUUAGGUUCAAUGGUGUAUUAGAAUUGUGCAUUUAACCCACAUACACACACCCUGAACUCACCAGCCUCAUCCUGACAGAGGGACACCGCUUCCCUACUGGCCUCAUUUAUGAGGCCUUCAAAAUAUUCCCCAUUCCCACUCAUGGUUUUCCAGCCUUGGCCUGAUGGAGGGACACGGCUUCCCCUUGUCCGUCAGCCAUUUGGAGGUAACCAGCAGAAGAGUCAACUGGCAAGGGAAAACCACACAUUUCAUUUGACAACAAAUCCCUCAGUUUUUGCAAUGUGCACUUUAAGAAUUGAGGUGCACAAUUACAGUCCAUGGUGCAUUAUGAGUAAAUAUGAUACUGACCACCAGUGAAAGAAGGAACAUUGAGUUCUGAAUCUCUUGCCUGAUUCAAAGAAGAAUUACAUUCUGAGAAGCUUGAGUAUUUUGCAAAAUUAAAGCUUGUAAGUUGUUUGGCUUGACAAUUUCACGUCUAUUAUCCUGUGCAGUAUCAUACCCUCCAACAUCUCAAAGAUUAAAAUGGUCAAACAACAUCACAGUGUAGUCAAAAUGGCAAAACGUAUUAAUGAAGAAAAAUAGAUAAGCUAGGAGAGGCUGAAGCAGCUUGCUUUCGCCUGGGCCUAUUGGGAAGGUCAGGAGUCCAGCAUCUCCCCACUGAUGAAUUCGUUGAGUAUAUGCUACCUUUGCACUCAUUUUACAGCAGUUGAACUAAGCUAAGACAAGGGAGGAAUGUUCGAGGACAAGAGAAACUGGGACAUUUUAAAAGCAGCUGCACAACUGGGAGGAGUGAGGACUAACAGGGGGUGCCAUCUAAAUUGUAGAAUUCAAUCAGUUGGGUAACACUUUAAAUAUCCUGUCUCCAUGCAAUUGAGUUGUAGUGUUUUACAAUGUCUUUAGCCUUCUCUGCCAAGGAGUUUGGUGCCUCACCAAACUGCAGCUUCCAGAAUUCCAUAGCAUUGAACCAUGGCAGUUAAAGCGGUCUCGAACUGACUUAAUUCUACAGAUAGAUACACCCUCAGACUUCCUGCCAAAUUAGUUGGAGUAUAUAUAGUAUGGGCAGUAUGAUUAAUGUCCCUGUCCACAUAUGGUUUAGUUUAUGAAAAUUCUACUUUACUGUCUUGAAAUCAGCACAUUGUGAAUGGUGUGACUCAACAUGAACAUUACAGAAAGAAAGUCAGAUUCAAUAGCAAGUAAAAAUUAGAAAUUCCUUGGAUUAAAUUCAUUAUGCAAAUGUCAGGUUUUAUAUGAAUACCUACACAUCAUUUAUGAGAUUUUUAUCUUUAUUUUGGUGUUCAUUGAAAUAUUUUGUUAAUGCAAGAAAAUCUUGAAGAUAUUGACUAAAAUCUUAUUGAUUAGUUCCUACUAGAAUAAAUCAAUUGAAUCCCUUGUUGAAUGUUGAGUCAGCAUGUAGACACAUCUCACUAAUUUAAUGAAGCUACUGUAGUUGGAACUAACAAUAGGAUUCAAGCCACUGAGCAGAACAUGUAUGAAAGGAAAUUGAAAGGGAGGUACAUAAACUGCUGCUACAUUGAGAACUGACAACAUCUGUAGCAGUAGAAUAAGAGUAGCUCCCAUAACAUCCAACCUUUUGCAGAUAGAAAGUAGGGCACUCGUGCUUUAGCAAUAUCAGAGUUUAAUCAAAAGUGCAUGGCCAGGCAUCAAGGAGCUGACAUUAUUAUUGACAAAUAACACAGAGAGCUACUAUUGUGAAUAUAGAAACCAUGGAAUUUAUGUGUUGAGUUUGGGAAAGGCUGAAAAAUAGAAAAGGACAAUAGGACGUGCAAGGCACUGCCUCCUUCUAUUAACCUAGUGCAAAUUAUUUUGAACUUUGAACUCUGUUUGCAACAAUUAAAAAGUGAGAGGAGAGAGAAAACUUGACUUUUAAAAGCAGAAAGUGGAACCACAGAAGAUUAACCAUGUUUGUCUAUGUCAAACCAUGACAUUUUGAGAGUAUGGGCUCCAGUGUUGCACUAUUUGAAAAUAGAAACAUUUCACAAUAGAAAUGGGAGUAUCAAUCCUUGAGUGGCACACCUGCAAAGGAGUUACCAAUCCUUUUCGGGUGUGCUGGCUAUUCAAUCAAUUGUUUUCAACCUUUGCUCCUCAAAAUGGUUUAGGUUUUAGCACCCAAAAUUGGAUAUUGACCACACUGUCUGCGGUUCUGGAAAUUGAACUCCAAAAUAUUUGGAAGACCAGAGAUUGAAAACCACCGUCUUGAAUACAGUCAUAAUGUUGCUGUCCUCGGACAAAUGAAUCAGUUCUUAUUGGGCAUAUCCAUAUUGUAACUUUUCCCUUGCUGCUUUAUUUAAUAUAUGACAUACUAUUAUACUAUCAAGUACUACCAAAAUUUUAGGGAGUAGCCUCUGAGAGAAGCAACCACCUGAUCUGCCAAAGUGGUGUGACUUUUGAGUUCUGACUACAGAACAAAAUUAUAAAUCUCAACAGGUGUUCUAGGUGACCUGAAAAAAUGUCUUAAGAUCCCAUCUAUAAUUGCCAGUAUGAAAAAAAUUCUAGGAGCGAAAUAUGACUGCUUCAUCUUGUCUAGAAAAUUACUAACAGUUUACUCCACGCCAUUCUGCAUAUGUCGAGAAAGAAAAGAUUGACUCUCCCAGAUCCUCCUGACAGCUGGUACUGAUGGAUGUGAAAGAAAGGGAAAUGCCACAUCAAUCUGUAGCCUAAUGAUUAGAUAGAAA